rnacentral:rRNA from 1 species
GACGAACGCUGGCGGCGUGCCUAAUACAUGCAAGUUGAGCGCUGAAGGUUGGUACUUGUACCAACUGGAUGAGCAGCGCACGGGUGAGUAACGCGUGGGGAAUCUGCCUUUGAGCGGGGGACAACAUUUGGAAACGAAUGCUAAUACCGCAUAAAAACUUUAAACACAAGUUUUAAGUUUGAAAGAUGCAAUUGCAUCACUCAAAGAUGAUCCCGCGUUGUAUUAGCUAGUUGGUGAGGUAAAGGCUCACCAAGGCGAUGAUACAUAGCCGACCUGAGAGGGUGGUCGGCCACAUUGGGACGGAGACACGGCCCAAAGUCCUACGGGAGGCAGCAGUAGGGAAUCUUCGGCAAUGGACGAAAGUCUGACCGAGCAACGCCGAGUGAGUGAAGAAGGUUGUCGGAUCGUAAAACUCGGUUGGUAGAGAAGAACGUUGGUGAGAGUGGAAAGCUCAUCAAGUGACGGUAACUACCCAGAAAGGGACGGCUAACUACGUG